UGGGGAAUUUUGGACAAUGGGGGCAACCCUGAUCCAGCCAUGCCGCGUGCGGGAAGAAGGCCUUCGGGUUGUAAACCGCUUUUGUCAGGGAAGAAAAGCUUCGAGCUAAUACCUCGGGGUAAUGACGGUACCUGAAGAAUAAGCACCGGCUAACUACGUGCCAGCAGCCGCGGUAAUACGUAGGGUGCAAGCGUUAAUCGGAAUUACCGGGCGUAAAGCGUGCGCAGGUGGUCAUGCAAGACAGAUGUGAAGUCCCCGGGCUUAACCUGGGAACUGCAUUUGUGACUGCAUGGCUAGAGUGUGGCAGAGGGGGAUGGAAUUCCGCGUGUAGCAGUGAAAUGCGUAGAUAUGCGGAGGAACACCGAUGGCGAAGGCAGUCCCCUGGGCCUGCACUGACACUCAUGCACGAAAGCGUGGGGAGCAAACA
rnacentral:rRNA from 1 species